UGGAAAGUAACUGACUGU
rnacentral:piRNA from 1 species